rnacentral:rRNA from 1 species
UAAGGAAUAUUGGUCAAUGGACGCAAGUCUGAACCAGCCAUGCCGCGUGAAGGAUGAAGGUCCUCUGGAUUGUAAACUUCUUUUAUCUGGGACGAAAACGGGAUUUUUAUCUCAAUUGACGGUACCGGAGGAAUAAGCACCGGCUAACUCCGUGCCAGCAGCCGCGGUAAUACGGAGGGUGCGAGCGUUAUCCGGAUUUACUGGGUUUAAAGGGUGCGUAGGUGGGCUUAUAAGUCAGUGGUGAAAUCUCCGAGCUUAACUUGGAAACUGCCGUUGAUACUAUAGGUCUUGAAUUAUCUGGAGGUAAGCGGAAUAUGUCAUGUAGCGGUGAAAUGCUUAGAUAUGACAUAGAACACCAAUUGCGAAGGCAGCUUACUACAUAUAAAUUGACGCUGAGGCACGAAAGCGUGGGGAUCAAACA